AGGGAAUCUUCCGCAAUGGACGAAAGUCUGACGGAGCAACGCCGCGUGAGUGAUGAAGGUUUUCGGAUCGUAAAACUCUGUUGUUAGGGAAGAACAAGUACCGGAGUAACUGCCGGUACCUUGACGGUACCUAACCAGAAAGCCACGGCUAACUACGUGCCAGCAGCCGCGGUAAUACGUAGGUGGCAAGCGUUGUCCGGAAUUAUUGGGCGUAAAGCGCGCGCAGGCGGUUCCUUAAGUCUGAUGUGAAAGCCCCCGGCUCAACCGGGGAGGGUCAUUGGAAACUGGGGAACUUGAGUGCAGAAGAGAAGAGUGGAAUUCCACGUGUAGCGGUGAAAUGCGUAGAGGUGUGGAGGAACACCAGUGGCGAAGGCGACUCUUUGGUCUGUAACUGACGCUGAGGCGCGAAAGCGUGGGGAGCAAAC
rnacentral:rRNA from 2 species